GGUCGAAACUGGAGCUAAAGAAGUUGUACUAAAUAUUUCACAUACAUAAUUGACAAUUAGAGGAAGUUUGGAUGGGAAGUCAUCUCGAGUCAAGUUGUGACAAUGACAUGUGACAUCUUUGUGAAAGGACACUAGAACUUCUGUCACUACAUAAACUGAAAGAGUUAUUAGCAGAGUACUGAUCACUAGCCAAUGUUUUUUUUCCAAGCAAAAACAUCAAAUGUAUUUGGUUAUUAAUUGGUCAUUUCUGGUUGACCUAAGGAAUUUGUGACCAUUCUUCCCUCAAGAUCAAAUCUGGGCAAGUCUAGAUGUGUGCGAACGAACUACAAGAAGUGAAAGUUGAUAAUGCUUUACUUGAACAGCCUGAGCCGAGGGCUGACUCGCGCAGUGUCGCCUGUCAGGACAUCUGUAAGGUCAAAGACCAUCGCAAAUUAGCCAUUUGCAGCAUCAUAUGUGGCCUCUCCUGUCUUGGAAUUAUGUCCAUUAUGUACUCCGUCAAGGCCCGAGAGACAAGAAAAAGACUUCAAAACGAAGAUUGUCCAGAAACACGAGAGAUGAUUAAGAAAUACUCAGUAAAGGCGUGUAAAUGGGGUAUUGGGUCCAUUGUAGCCUGGGUGGUUUUAAUUCUCAUCUUUCCAUUGCUGGUGGGAUUUCUGUCCUAUGUUGUAACCUUCAUAGACUGACACUGAAGAAGCUUUUCUACAGUUAAAUGAGCAUCCAAAGCAAAUGAACUGUAAGAGUGCAGAAACAGACUCUUUCAUUGCUCACACUGGACACUGCAUCUAGACUAAACUAUCCAAAAAAGUUACUUGAUGGCAAUAGGUUGGUCAAUAAUGGUCAUUAUUUAAAUUCACUGUGGGUUUCGAAAGGUGCUUGUCCUUAGUCUAGAUCAAAGGUUCACAACUUCCUACCCAUAAUAUAAGAGGAUUCAACAGCUCAACAUUUGCAUUAAAAUUAAAUCACUGCAAUUAAGCCAAUGCAGGUAGUUCAAAAUGGUACAGCAACUUUCAGGAAUUUGUUACAUGCAUGAGAUGGAGCCAUGCAUAAAACCAUCCGUCCAGACAGAAGUUACUGCUACACUUCAGCAAGCUGGUUUUAUUUAUGCUCUUACUGCAAACUGGAAAUGAAACAUUGAGACACUCACAGAGAGCAUAACAUUCAAAUGUUGAGAUAUGGAUGUGGUUACAUUUUUAACGUUCUGUUUUUGUAAAUAAGUCAUACUGUUUCAAUACUUUGUGCUUUUGAUGUUUUGUACACUGCAUGUAUUUCAGGCUUUGUCAUAAAAUGUGUAGCAGUCAAAAUGCAUCUGCUCAUUGUAAACGUCUUACAAACAACUCGACAAAACACUAAAAUACAAAACAGUUCAAUCGUAUUCUAUUAUAAAUACAGAACGCAGACAUCUAUCAAACAAGUUUACACUAAUCAUUCAACAUGUUCAAACACCACAAACAGUAUUAUAAAUCACUACAUCAAAGAUAAACAAAAGACUAAAUUAAGUGAAUGGACUAUAUUUAGAGUGCCUGAGUAAAAGCACAGAAUGCAUUAAACUUUUAAAUCCUUUAUGACUUAUG